UGAUGUCAUUUUCUCGUCUGAUGUUGUUGGGUGAAGAGCGGACGUGCAUAAUUUGUUGGUUCUAGUAAAUACAUUAAUUAGUAUUUAAUUAUAUCACAAGUACAGAGCAGCCCCAUAAAGGGAAAUUGUUUCGUUUCCACGCAGCUGUUGCCUACUGUGCCAUUCAUCUUCGAAAAUUGUUGGAUAGUUUCGAAUAACCUCAACUUUAGAUCGAGUAUCAUAUUUCAGGAGAAAGACAAGGAUUAGUAGAACUAGAGUAGAUUAUCAACUACAGUCUAGGAAAGCAUAAGUUGGACUGUUAAAUCAUCACAUUGUGGCCCUAAAGCUUUAUAAUUUAUGUUCACAAAUUUACUAAGAAGGGACAGACUAUUAAGGUAAUAAUUGAAUGUAUGUUUUUUUCUGUUAGCAAUAAUCUAGUGAA
rnacentral:lncRNA from 1 species